rnacentral:rRNA from 1 species
GACGAACGCUGGCGGCGUGCUUAACACAUGCAAGUCGAACGGUGAAGCUCCAGCUUGCUGGAGUGGAUCAGUGGCGAACGGGUGAGUAACACGUGAGCAACCUGCCCCUGACUCUGGAAUAAGCGCUGGAAACGGCGUCUAAUACUGGAUACGAGAAGGGUCCGCAUGGGCACUUUCUGGAAAGUUUUUCGGUUGGGGAUGGGCUCGCGGCCUAUCAGCUUGUUGGUGAGGUAAUGGCUCACCAAGGCGACGACGGGUAGCCGGCCUGAGAGGGCGACCGGCCCCAUGGGGCCGGAGCAAGGCCCGGGCCCCGCAGGGGGGGAGGAGGGGGGAAUUUUUGCCAAUGGGGCGAAGCCUGGAGGCGGGGAGCCGGGGUGGGGGAGGAGGCCUUGGGGGUUGAAACCCUCUUCCAGCGGGGAAGGGGCGAAGGUGAGGUUCCCUGAAGAGGAAGCACCGGCAAACUCGGUG